GCCGGGCACGGUAACGAAUGCCUGUAACCCGAGUGGGGGCAUCAAGGCAAUGGAAGGCUUGAUAUGUGGCGCCACCGCUGAGCAUCGUUAACGGUUCUCUUC
rnacentral:sRNA from 1 species